rnacentral:rRNA from 1 species
UACGAACCGAGCGAACGUUGUUCGGAAUCACUGGGCUUAAAGGGCGCGUAGGCGGGCUGUCAAGUCUGGGGUGAAAUCCCGCGGCUCAACCGUGGAACUGCCUUAGAUACUGACGGCCUCGAGGGAGGUAGGGGCAUGCGGAACUGAUGGUGGAGCGGUGAAAUGCGUUGAUAUCAUCAGGAACUCCGGUGGCGAAGGCGGCGUGCUGGACCUUUUCUGACGCUGAGGCGCGAAAGCCAGGGGAGCAAACGGG